GGUUCCUUAGCUUAAUUGGUAAAGCGUAUUCUUGAUAAGGAUAUGUUCGGAGUUCAAGUCUCUGAGGAAUCA
rfam:Botryotinia fuckeliana BcDW1 unplaced genomic scaffold Scaffold_87, whole genome shotgun sequence.